GUCGGUGCUUAUGACGGUGAGGCUCCACCCGUUCCCAUCCCGAACACGGUAGUUAAGCUCACUCGUGCUGACAAUACUUGGCGGGUGACCGCCCGGGAAGAUAAGUCAGUGCCGACA
rnacentral:rRNA from 1 species